GCACAAGGCUUGAAGGAAUACAGUGACAUGAGAAACAAUCUGUAUUUUCCAGUCCUUACUAAUGGUUCCCCUUGAAGAGAAUAGAUGACAUUCACUCCAUCAAUAUAAGGAAGCUUUCAGGUGCAACAUCGAAUUGACAUAUGGUGGAGCAAGGGGAAUAUUGCUUUGGUGUACAAAGUCUAUAAAACCAACUUUACUGCAACCCCAAAGUAUGGCUUAGUAUCCGAGGAUGUGUAUAGACUAAGCACAAGAAAGACCCAGCUGGCAUGUGGUGACAUUGCUCCACAAGGUGACCCAAAGGACUGUAACUGGUGAGGAUGAAGAAGUCCACUUCAGAAGCGUGUCUUGAUCUGAAAUAUAGCACCAGUAGAGACAUAUCCAGGAAACUAAGCCCUGCCCAGCAGGAGUGUGUGAGUCAGACUUCAUUAAUCCCAUUUCACAGGUGGUAGAUGGAGACUGAGCACGUUUACAUAAAACAAGUGGCAGAACUUUGAUGAAGCUGAAUACCUCACUUCCCAGAGACACUGGGUACUGUGGGGAACUAUGUGGUAGGACAAAGUGCAGUGCUAAGCUAGUGAACUAAUGCAAGUAGCCAGUAACAAGAAAAACAAAGCAGAAGCAGAAAUGAAAGGAUCUAGGUUGAUUAAAUGAUCUUUCUCAGUCAAUGAUAAGGAAGGAGGAUUGCAGUUGGGUUGGCUGUGAAAAGUAGCAGCUUAGAUCAAGAGACACUAAAUUGAGAAAUAUGAGGGCAAAGAGAUCGCAGUCUCUAUCUUGGCAUUGUGAGAUGUAACGCAUGCUCCUAGUCUCUGGAUGGAGGAAAGGUCACCCCACUAGCAGCCCACCUGCUUCCAUCAUAGCUUUGUCCAGGAGCAGCUAUAUUAAACAUUGGAGCUCCCAGGCUAAUUCACAGAACUCAGUUAGUAGAACUCCAUUUCUAUCAGUUCAGUGACCAUCACAGAAACAUGUUAUUUUAACCAGCAGUAAGAGCUAAUCAUGUCUUAUUUAGUAUUGAUUCUGUGGUUAUCAUAUACAGCAGAGCUCGCCACUUCUAUUUUUAUGUUUUUUCUAUUAUUAGAUAUCUGAUAAAACUGCUGUCCAGAUUGGAUAUCAGCUAGUUACUUAAUUAUUAUGUGGUUGUUCUGAAAAAUGAUGCCAGAAAAUACAGACAAACCAGGAGUGCCAGUGUUGGUUUUGGGCUUAGCCUGCAUAUUUUGACAGUGAAGAGCUUAAAUAAGUACAUUAAAGAUGUAAUUCUGGAGGUCUCUAAAGCAAAGAGUUAGCUCAAAAGCACAGAGGCUUUUGGGAACAGAGAAUAAACCAAUUCAUUGAUGAGCUCAUAAGCAAAAGAGUGCAAGUAGAAAAAGGUUAUAGAUAUUUCUUUUUUGCAUCAGAAGGCAGCAGGGACAUGUCAUGAGAUAAGGCCCAAACUGUAAUCACUCCAAGUCACUCAGUAGAUAUAAAAAUAUCUGUGAAUAAAGACUCAUGUCUUUCUCUCCUCCUCAUGAAUCCAAAUGUACUGACCUAGAGGAAGAAUGGCUUUGAGUUUCCAUAGAGUAUCACAUUUUUUCUCUCCUAAGUGAUUUUCGGAGAAAUAAGUCUUAAAUCUCUAUUUUACUUUUGAGUGUACAUUUGCAAUUAUUUGCUCAUUGUAUUAAGACAGUUGGAUGUGAGAGUUAAUUUUUUUUAAUAAAUACCUGCAUCAGAUCUUUGCCAAAAAGUUGCUCAGGGUCCAUUUCUCAUCUGUUAAAAAAACUCUGGUUCCUCUCUCAACCUCCAUUUCCAGCAAAAUUCAUUUAUAAUGCUGUACUGUCCAAAAGGAGCAUGAGAUAUAUUUGUUUCAAAAAUCACAUAAAUUCUGAUAAAAAGAUUGAUCAGGAUGUCCAGCCAUCACAGCUGCAGGGACUGCAGUUUUCUCUGAAAAUUCUUUUCCUUUCCUUUAUCGUUGUAUUCAAACUUCAGAGUAUGAUGCUUUUGAGUAACAAGUUCACAAACUGACAGAAUAUAAAGACAUACCAAGAUGUUUCAUUUGUUGUGAUCUGAAUAUAAGUUAGUCUUUCCCUCUCUGAUAUUUCCUAAAUUUUCUUUCAUGUCUCUUAGCACGUUCUUUUAGGAAAUGCUUCAUUUGGAUACAUCACAAAUUUGUAAUAAUAAAUACAGGCCAAUUGGUGGUAAUCAAAACUGGAAGAAGGUACGUUGGUGAAACACAGAAUCUUGUCUUGAAGACUAGGAACACAUGGCACAUUAGAAGAUGUAACAAUAUUUAACUAAAAAGAAUUUCAGGUGUACUGUUUUUCUUAUUCUUUUUUCUUUAUCCAUAUUUAUAGAUCAUGGAAAGAAGUUGAAAUUACAGGAAGCAGCAGUCUUCUGUCAGUUUCUAAAUUGUUUGUCAUCUUCAGACUCCCACCUGUCUUUCCUCCUCUGGAAAUUAUGCAACUAUUUAAGAGUCAUUUUGGCUGUGUGUACAGUUUUACUGUACACUGUAAAUAACAGUGAUAUCUCAUUCCUGAAAAGUUUAAACUCAGAACGUGUUUUUUUGUUUGUUUGUUUUUGUUUUUGUUUUUUUCUAGCUAUACAUUGUAGCUAAUAAGAUCAUAAUGUUGGUCACGCUGAACGUUGAUUCCCUUUGUUUUAAGUUUUUCAUCUGCGGAACUUGAACAGCUGACUCAUAUUCUAUUUGCAUAUGUACAGUUUUGUUGCUACUUUGAAGAACUUUAAAAUAACUUAAGCUCUGAGCUGAAAAAAAAUAAUCCCAACCUAAGAUUUUAGAAAAGCACACUACACCACUUCCCCCUGCCCCCAGAAAAAGGAGAGAGAACAAUAGGGGGAAAAAAAAGAAGAA